GUUCUUAAAAAACCUCACAUAUGUAGAAAUGACUUCUCUAUGAAGCUCGUAAGAAUAUUAAACAUCAUAUUUGUCGAGGAAAAAGUUCCACAGGAAAAAGACUCCUUUAAACUUCACUUUUUUGUAAGAAGAUGGCUGGAACUCUGACUUUUCUUCUCAUUAGUUCUCUGCUGCAGGGUGCACUGUGUGAAACGUUCAACAUCAAUAUGCCACAGAAUAUAAAUGGUUUUGAGAGGCUCCUGUGUGACCAUCCCCUG